UGAGGAAUUUUCGUCAAUGGGGGCAACCCUGAACGAGCAACGCCGCGUGCAGGAAGAAGGUUUUCGGAUCGUAAACUGCUUUUCUCUGGGACGAGAACGGACGGUACCAGAGGAAUCAGCCCCGGCUAACUACGUGCCAGCAGCCGCGGUAAUACGUAGGGGGCAAGCGUUGUCCGGAUUUAUUGGGCGUAAAGCGCACGCAGGCGGUCUGCCAAGUUCGGAGUGACAGUUUCCGGCUUAACCGGAAAAGGUCUUCGAAAACUGGUGGACUUGAGAACUUGAGGGGGAGACGGAAUUCCGGGUGGAGCGGUGAAAUGCGUAGAGAUCCGGAGGAACACCGAAAGCGAAGGCAGUCUCCUGGCAAGUUUCUGACGCUCAGGUGCGAAAGCUAGGGGAGCGAACAGGAUUAGAUACCCCCGUAGUCC
rnacentral:rRNA from 1 species